GGAGAGAUGGCUUAGUGGUUAAGAGCACUGGCUGCUCUUCCAGAGGACCCAGGUUCGAUUCCUAGUACCUACA
rnacentral:tRNA from 1 species